rnacentral:rRNA from 1 species
UACGGAGGGGGCUAGCGUUAUUCGGAAUUACUGGGCGUAAAGCGCACGUAGGCGGACCGGAAAGUUGGAGGUGAAAUCCCAGGGCUCAACCUUGGAACUGCCUUCAAAACUUCUGGUCUUGAGGUCGAGAGAGGUAAGUGGAAUUCCGAGUGUAGAGGUGAAAUGCGUAGAUAUUCGGAGGAACACCAGUGGCGAAGGCGGCUUACUGGCUCGAUACUGACGCUGAGGUGCGAAAGCGUGGGGAGCAAACAGG